rnacentral:rRNA from 1 species
CAAUGGCGUAUAUUAAAGUUGUUGCGGUUAAAAAGCUCGUAGUUGGAUUUCUGCUGAGAACGACCGGUCCGCCCUUUGGGUGUGUAUCUGGCUCUUUCUUGGCAUCUUCUUGGUGAACGUUGCUGCACUUGACUGUGUGGAGCGCUACCCAGGACUUUUACUUUGAGGAAAUUAGAGUGUUUCAAGCAGGCAUACGCCUUGAAUACAUUAGCAUGGAAUAAUAAGAUAGGACCUCGGUUCUAUUUUGUUGGUUUCUAGAGCUGAGGUAAUGAUUAAUAGGGAUAGUUGGGGGCAUUCGUAUUUAACGGUCAGAGGUGAAAUUCUUGGAUUUGUUAAAGACGGACUACUGCGAAAGCAUUUGCCAAGGAUGUUUUCAUUGA